UUUGAAAAACGCGUAGGAGGGAGAAGAAAAGGGAAGAAAAUACUCUGUUUUCCUGAUAUGGCGAUCACCAUUAGGUUUAUGGCGAAUGCCAUCUGCCUAAAAUGUUGGGAAUUUUAAAUUCGAAGCGAAUGACGAACGCCAUUAGCUUAAUGGCGAACGCCAUUAAACUAAAGUUUAAAAUUUUGGCAAUUUUAAAGAUUAAAG
rnacentral:lncRNA from 1 species